rnacentral:tRNA from 1 species
GCUACUGUGGCGCAGUCGGUAGCGCGCAUCCUUGGUAAGGAUGAGGUCGGCGGUUCAAGUCCGCUCAGUAGCU